GUUGAAGUCUAUCCCAAUGGGGCUUUAUUACUACAGCCACAGAUCACUGGAAACAGCUCAUAGAGUAACUCUGUGGUCUUGCCUUGCUCACAAGACUGCUAAAUCUGUGGGAAGGAACUAUAAGACAGUU
rnacentral:snoRNA from 1 species